GAAGGGCCAUCGCUCAACGGAUAAAAGCUACCCUGGGGAUAACAGGCUUAUCUCCCCCAAGAGUCCACAUCGACGGGGAGGGUUGGCACCUCGAUGUCGGCUCAUCACAUCCUGGGGCUGUAGUAGGUCCCAAGGGUUGGGCUGUUCGCCCAUUAAAGUGGUACGCGAGCUGGGUUCAGAACGUCGUGAGACAGUUCGGUCCCUAUCCGUCGCAGGCGUAGGAAAUUUGAGAAGACCUGUCCUUAGUACGAGAGGACCGGGAUGGACGUACCUCUGGUGUACCAGUUGUUCUGCCAAGGGCAUGGCUGGGUAGCUAUGUACGGAAUGGAUAAGCGCUGAAAGCAUCUAAGCGCGAAGCCAACUUCAAGAUAAGAUUUCCCACCGCAAGGGUAAGACCCCAGAAAGACUAUCUGGUUGAUAGGUCGAAGGUGUAAGUGCAGCAAUGUAUUUAGCUUAUCGAUACUAAUAGGUCGAGGACUUGACCAAU
rnacentral:rRNA from 1 species